rnacentral:rRNA from 1 species
GUAAAGUGGCGACCCGGGUGAGUAACACGUGACUAACCUACCUCCCGAGUGGGGAAUAAACUCCGGGAAAACCGGGGCUAAUACCGCAUAACAUCGCGAGAUCAAAGCAGCAAUGCGCUUGGAGAGGGGGUCGCGGCUGAUUAGCUAGUUGGCGGGGUAACGGCCCACCAAGGCGAAGAUCGGUAUCCGGCCUGAGAGGGCGCACGGACACACUGGAACUGAAACACGGUCCAG